AAUGGCCGAAAUCUUUAAGGAGGAAAAUAUUUUGGAGAAUGUCGUGAUUAAAGAAGAGAUUCAAGAAGAAAUCCCUCCGUCCUCUUCUGUAGAGGACACGGGUCCUUUAGAGGACACAUGUACUGUUUACAUAAAAGAAGAAAGUGAACCAUCUGAUUACAUCAAGGAAGAAAUCAAUCCAUCUGUUCAUAUAAAAGAAAAAAUCCCGCCAUCUGUUGACAUAAAGGAAGAAAUCCCGCCAUCUGUUUACACAAAGGAAGAAAUCCCGCCAUCUGUUUACACAAAGGAAGAAAUCCCGCCAUCUGUUUACAUAAAGGAAGAAGAUGUAAAAGUUGAAAUAACCGAAACUAAAGAUUUUAGUAACGGGGUCGAUCCUUUCCGAUUGACAGAGAGGAACAAGAAACGGAAACUAGAAGAAAGGAAUUAUCCAUGUGGUAAAUGUGAGUACUCUACGCCUAGAUUAAAUCGUCUAAAACACCACAUUUUGAAUAAACACGAAGGAGUAAGAUAUCCUUGUGACAAAUGUGAUUUCGCUUCAACCUCUGCACAUUAUAUCAGAAAGCAUAUUCAGAGUGUACAUGAAGGAGUGAAAUAUCCUUGCGAUAAGUGUGAGUAUAUAACACACAAAGAAAUUUAUCUUAAAAAACACAAAGAAAAUAAGCAUGAGGAAGUGAGAUAUCAUUGUGAUAAAUGUGAAUACAUAGGAACUACGGCGAGUAAUUUCAAAAGACAUAAAGAGAAUAAACACGAAGGAGUAAGACAUCCUUGUGACAAAUGCGAGUUCGCUUCAACGACUAAAUGGGAACUAAAAAGACAUUUUGAGAAUGUACAUGAAGGGGUGACAUAUCCUUGUGAUAAAUGUGAGUAUGUUGCAAGUAGAGAAAGUUAUCUUAGAAACCAUAUUAAGAGUAAACAUGAGGAAGUGAGAUUUCAUUGUGAUAAGUGUGAGUACGCAGCGACUACAGCGGGAAAUCUUAAAACGCAUAGGGAGAUUAAGCAUGAUGGACUCAGAUAUCCCUGUGUUAUGUGUGAAUACAUUGCGACUACAGUAACUGAUCUCAAAACACAUAUUGAGAGUAGGCACAUAGGCUUGAGAUAUCCUUGUGAUAAGUGUGAAUACGCUGCAAUUACACCAAGUAUUCUAAAAAUGCAUAUUAAGCACAAACACGAAGGAGUGAGAUAUCCUUGUGAUAAAUGCGAGUUCAGUGCAUCUUCGUCUAGAUAUCUUAGACUUCAUAUAGAGAAUAAGCAUGAAGGAGUGAGUUAUCCGUGUUCUCAAUGCGAUUUUACUGCAUCUUUGGCAAGUCACCUUAGAACACAUAUUAAAAGUAAACAUGAAGGAGUGAGAAAGAGAUAUCCAUGUGAUAAAUGUGAACACGCUGCUACUACACCAAGUGCUCUUAGAAUCCAUAUUGAGAGCAAACAUGAAGGAUUGAAAUAUCCUUGUGAGAGAUGUGAGUACACGGCACCAAGAGAAAAUGAUCUGAAGCAGCAUAUUAAGAGAAUGCAUGAAGGAGUGAGAUUUCCUUGUGAUCAAUGUGAGCACACUUCUUCUACAACUAGUAAUCUUAAAAUCCAUAUUGAGAGUAAACACAAAGGUGUUAGACAUCCUUGCACUAAAUGUGAGUUUGUUGCAACUACAGCUGGUAAUCUUAGAAGACAUAUUGAAAAUAAGCAUGAAGAAGUGAGAUAUCCGUGUGAUAAAUGUGAAUACUCUGCAACACAAGUAGGUCAUUUAAGAAUCCAUAUAGAGAGUAAACAUGAAGAAGUGAAAUAUCCUUGUGAUAUGUGUGAAUAUGCUGCAUCUAAUGUAAGCAACUUAAAAAGACAUGUUGACACUAAGCAUGAAGUGAAGGAGGAGUAUGAUAUUCAAUCCAUGUAAUAAAUGCGACCCACUGCAAUGUAUAUGUUAAAUGAUCUUAAAGUUCACUUUGAUAUGAACGUCAUUAAUAUGCAGUCCUUUUCUUAAUUUAUGUACUGGUUAAUUUGAAAAUUUAACUUUUCUUGGUGCAAUAGUCUGCGAAGUUCUAAUAGCCUUGAUUGUGUUAAAUUGUGUAAUUAUAGUUAAGCCUAUAUGAUCAAAUACA
rnacentral:misc_RNA from 1 species